AUUGAACGCUGGCGGCAUGCCUUACACAUGCAAGUCGAACGGCAGCACGGGAGCAAUCCUGGUGGCGAGUGGCGAACGGGUGAGUAAUAUAUCGGAACGUGCCCAGUAGUGGGGGAUAGCCCGGCGAAAGCCGGAUUAAUACCGCAUGAGACCUGAGGGUGAAAGCGGGGGAUCGCAAGACCUCGCGCUAUUGGAGCGGCCGAUAUCAGAUUAGCUAGUUGGUGGGGUAAAGGCCUACCAAGGCAACGAUCUGUAGUUGGUCUGAGAGGACGAUCAGCCACACUGGCACUGCGACACGGGCCAGACUCCUACGGGAGGCAGCAGUAAGGAAUAUUGCGCAAUGGGCGAAAGCCUGACGCAGCGACGCCGCGUGGGGGAUGAAGGUCUUCGGAUUGUAAACCCCUUUUGUGCGGGAGAAAGUCGUCGGUGACAUCCGGCGAUGCUGACGGUACCGCAAGAAUAAGCACCGGCUAACUUCGUGCC
rnacentral:rRNA from 1 species